rnacentral:rRNA from 1 species
UUAAAAAGCUCGUAGUUGAACCUUGGGCCUGGCUGGCCGGUCCGCCUCACCGCGUGUACUGGUCCGGCCGGGCCUUUCCCUCUGUGGAACCCCAUGCCCUUCACUGGGUGUGGCGGGGAAACAGGACUUUUACUUUGAAAAAAUUAGAGUGCUCCAGGCAGGCCUAUGCUCGAAUACAUUAGCAUGGAAUAAUAGAAUAGGACGUGUGGUUCUAUUUUGUUGGUUUCUAGGACCGCCGUAAUGAUUAAUAGGAACAGUCGGGGG